AUUUGUUCUUUUUGUUAGAAAAGGUAGCUAUCCAAACGCCAUUCCAAGGAAAAGCAGGAGCGAGAUUGCAAAGCAGAGCGGCUCGAUUCUUCAUCUGUCGCCGAUGCCGGAGUUCCUGAUGCCGCGCACCAAGUAGCAAGCCCCCGGGCUUCCCGCCGGUUCAGCUCUGGUGGAGCUACGUCCUGCCUAGCCCUUGCCGUCUGAGUCGCGCGACAGUUCCGGAGACGGAGACGUGUCGCAAUCUCCAUCGCCAUCAACGGGUACGGCGCUCGCCCCCUUACCUCUCAACACCGCACGUCCCACCGGUCAUGUCGCGACCAUCGCUCGACUCAGGCGACAGAAGCCCAAAUCGGUUCUGCCUCCUCCUCCUUCUCGGAGACAGACCAGUUCCCAAACCCAGAAGACAAGGGAACUUGCGGAAACUGCCAUAGCGCUAAAGAAGCGGGCCUCGCGACCCGAGUUGAUAGAUGAGUCUGAUUCCGCUAAAAUUCCACCUCCAUGCCACUUAUCCGAGUCUGACAGUGGCCAAGAGCCGGCCGUUGGUGCCCAUACCGACGCGGCGCAGCCUGUCUCAAGCGCUGACGAGGGGAAUGAGCAUGCUCCACCUAAAGGCCGAGCUAGGAUAUGGAAAGGGAAGAGCAAGUACCCGCCUGGCGCUGCUGGCUUGAACGGAACACUGGAUUUCGUUGUCCUAGCGCAAAAGAAAAGGAUUACUAUGCUGUGAGGAAGGUGGCAUUUUUGUUUUUGCUCCUGCUGGUCCUGUUAUCCCACGACAUGAGCACGUCUUCCGCAAAAGAAAGGUCAAUGCAGCUGCUCCAUCAACAUCAGCUCCUCUUGACACUUCCCCUAUGGCUUCCACGUCUUUGGCAUCCUGAAUUGAUCGUUUGGAAGUAAAGAUCAAUUUUCUCACCUCCACAGUCACUGAAAUCAACACUGCCCUGCAGGCCAUCUCACGACAUUUGGGGUUUUCUCAACCCCCACCACUAACUUAGCACAGGCAGCGACAACCUCCUCCACAGGGACGUUUCUCAUCCUUUCUCUUUAGUUUUUCUUUCAUUUAUUUAGUUAGGAACUCCUUUUGCUUGAUUGAUAUUCCACAUUGAGGACAAUGUGAGGAGUAAGUGUGGGGGAGGAGUCUGAUUUUGGAAGUGCUUUAUUUGUUUAUUUUCUGUUUAUAUUUUGUGAAGCACUGGAUUUUUUUGAGCAUUUUGUCCAUAUUCUUAAACCUGAUUUAGAUAUUUCGUUUAGCAAGUGCUCUUAAAAAUUAAUAAAUUUUAGUUCUUAUCCUAUGGAAAUUUUGAUUGUUUGAUGUGUACAUGAAAAGUUUUAUUUCAAAAUUUGUACAUGAAAAGUUUUAUUUCAAAAUUUCACUCUUGCCUUAACUUGAUCAAUAUUUUCUUUUGACCUCUUGAGAGAAGUUCUUUGUGCUUAAACUGAGUUCUCUGUGUUAGAUUGAAUUUUUGAGAUUUUAGGCAAGGUACUAGUUAUCUUUAUUAUAGACCCCCUUUUUCUCCAUCCUGUAAAUAGCAUUCCUUAAUCAUUCUCUUUUGUGUGAAUCAUUUAGGCUUGAGUUAAUAGGUGAAAUUGCCAAUUUGCUUGCGCUUAAUUCAUUGUUGUGCACAUUUCAAAACUUUGUUUAACCUGUCUGAGGCAUUACUCCUGGUAUAUGGCUGCAUGUUUUGGAAGGAUGGAAGGUGCAAAUUGCGCAAAGCGAUAAUGUAAAAGGUGAGGAAUAAAAGAGAACGAAAUAAGCGGUAAUGCACAUGAGUUCUCUAAAGUUUGCAAACAAAAUAAAUAAAAAAAAAAAAAAAAAAAA